GAUGAACGCGGGCGGCGUGCCCAAUAUAUGCAAGUCGAGCGAAGCGGGGACGGGUGAGUAACACGUGGAUAACCUCAUAUAAGACUGGGAUAACUUCGGGAAACCGGAGCUAAACCGGAUACUUAUCGAUGGAUCCGCGCUUCAUUAGCUAGUUGGUUAGGUAACGGCUUACCAAGGCAACGAUGCAUAGCCGACCUGCGAGGGUGAUCGGCCACCCUGGAGCCUAGACGCGGUCCAGCCUCCGGCAGGAGGCAGCAGUAGGGAAUCUUCCGCAAUGGGCGACAGCCUGACGGGGCUACGCCUCGUGAGUGAUGAAGGUCUUCGGAUCGUAAAACUCUGUUAUUAGGGAAGCGGUACCUAAUCAGAAAGCCACGGCUAACUACGUGCCAGCAGCCGCGAUAAUAC
rnacentral:rRNA from 1 species